rnacentral:tRNA from 1 species
GCCCCUGUAGUUUACCGGAUUAGAAUACAAGGUUGCGGACCUUGCGGACGGGGUUCAAUGUGUAAAGAUAAAAAAUUCAUGAAAAUCCCCGCAGGGGCA